UGCUUUCCUCCUCAUUCUCCCUUCACCUGGCUCCCUCACCUUCCCCACUUCUUUCUCUCAGCUUGUCUGUCAGUCUCUCUUCCUUUCUCUUUCUUCCUCUCUCUUCCACAUCAUCUACACUUCCCUUCUCUCUCCCUUAUCACCUCAUUUCUUUCCCGUCCUCCUUUCCCUCCUUUACUUUCUGAUUCCCUCCUUCCCUUCCCUCUUUCAUUGCUUUCUCUAGCUUCUCUUCUUCCUCCUAUUCUCUCUCUUCCUUUCUUCUUCCCAUCCACUUUCUCCUCUUUCCUUCUCCCUCUUCUCUCUCCUCCCUUCUUCUCUGUCCUUUCUUCCUCUUCUCUCCCUUCUUAUUCCUCUUUUUCCUUUCUUCCCUCUCACCACUCUUUAGACAUCUCUUUCCUUUCCUCUCUAUUUCCUUCUCUCUUUCUCUUUCCCUCUUUCUCUUCUCUCCCUUUCUCUUCCUCUCUUCACUUUCCCUCUCCCCUCUCUUCCUUUUAUCUAACCCUUGCCCCUCUCUUCUUUCCUUUCCUUCUCUCUUUUCUCCCCCUUUCUCUUCUUCCCUUUAAUUUUCCCUUCUCCCCUCUUCCUCUUUUCUCUUUUCCUCUCUUCUUCCUCCUUUUAACUUUCCCUUCCCUCUCUCUCCCUUUAUCUUUCCCCUCUCCCUUCCUCCUCUUUCUCUUUCCUCUCUUUCUGUCUCCUCUCCUCUCUCCUCUUGCCUCCCCCCAUCCUCCAGUCCCAACAGGAGCCCUUUGUGUCAUGAAGCUCUGCGGGUGGUGGCCGGAAUUUACUCUUCCCACCCCCCAUACGCACACCCAGCUUGGCUGGGCGCUCCCCUCCCAACUAAGCAUCCUCUCAGCCCCUCCAGCCAGCCCCGCCCCCAUCACCUCCAGGAAAAGAUUUCCCUCCUGCAGAGGGAAUGUGGGAGCCCCAGCAGGGCUGUUCCUUGGGGCUUUGGGGAGUGUGUUGGCCUUUCUGCCUCUGGCUGGACUGGCCCCAUUGGGGAAGGGUGAGAAGAUGGGAGGGGGCAGAAAGAGGAUUAGGGAAGCAGCUGAGGCACUCAGAAAGCAUCGUGAUCGGGAUUGCGGUGUCCCCUUUCCCUAA
rnacentral:lncRNA from 1 species